UGCGUAGGUGGUAUGGCAAGUCAGAAGUGAAAGGCUGGGGCUCAACCCCGGGACUGCUUUUGAAACUGUCAAACUAGAGUACAGGAGAGGAAAGCGGAAUUCCUAGUGUAGCGGUGAAAUGCGUAGAUAUUAGGAGGAACACCAGUGGCGAAGGCGGCUUUCUGGACUGAAACUGACACUGAGGCACGAAAGCGUGGGGAGCAAACA
rnacentral:rRNA from 1 species